GACGAACGCUGGCGGCGUGCUUAACACAUGCAAGUCGAGCGGUAAGGCCCUUCCGGGGGUACACGAGCGGCGAACGGGUGAGUAACACGUGGGUGACCUGCCCUCAGCUCUGGGAUAAGCCUGGGAAACCGGGUCUAAUACCGGAUAUGACUCCAUGACGCAUGUUGUGGGGUGGAAAGCCUUGUGCGGCUGAGGAUGGGCCCGCGGCCUAUCAGCUUGUUGGUGGGGUGAUGGCCUACCAAGGCGACGACGGGUAGCCGGCCUGAGAGGGCGACCGGCCACACUGGGACUGAGACACGGCCCAGACUCCUACGGGAGGCAGCGAGGUGGGGAAUCUUGCGCAAGUGGGCGAAAGCCUGACGCAGCGACGCCGCGUGAGGAUGAC
rnacentral:rRNA from 1 species